GUAGUCAUAUGCUUGUCUCAAAGAUUAAGCCAUGCAUGUCUAAGUAUAAGCAAUUAUACCGUGAAACUGCGAAUGGCUCAUUAAAUCAGUUAUCGUUUAUUUGAUAGUACCUUACUACUUGGAUAACCGUGGUAAGUCUAGAGCUAAUACACGCUGCAAACCCCAACUUCGGAAGGGGUGUAUUUAUUAGAUAAAAAACCAAUGCCCUUCGGGGCUCCUUGGUGAUUCAUAAUAACUUCUCAGAUCGCAUGGCCUUGCGCCGGCGACGGUUCAUUCAAAUUUCUGCCCUAUCAACUUUCGAUGGUAAGGUAUUGGCUUACCAUGGUUUCAACGGGUAACGGGGAAUUAGGGUUCGAUUCCGGAGAGGGAGCCUGAGAAACGGCUACCACAUCCAAGGAAGGCAGCAGGCGCGCAAAUUACCCAAUCCCGACACGGGGAGGUAGUGACAAUAAAUACUGAUACAGGGCUCUUUUGGGUCUUGUAAUUGGAAUGAGUACAAUUUAAACCUCUUAACGAGGAACAAUUGGGGGGCAAGUCUGGUGCCAGCAGCC
rnacentral:rRNA from 1 species